UGUCCAUCGGGGAGACCCGGCAGCUUUGAAGCGUCACUUUUGCUGAAAUUUGCAGCACUAAAUCCGGGACUCUCUUUCAGGCACGCACUGCCGCAUUUAUUCAGUAAACACUGGUACUAGGCCUCACUUUGCUAUAAGUUCUUUGCGGAAAGCAUAGCAUUCAAGAUUGAUUAUACAAGUUGCUCCUCGCUGGAAAUUUUUUCGUUUGGUCUGUGACUGUUUACUGCUUUACUUAUUACGAAUUCGUUUGUGCGACUCUGGGAUCUAACCCUAGCUUGAAUAGACUUUAUUGAGAAACGGAACAUUCACCAUUGCAAUUUAUCGGUUUUGUUUGAGGGACUCACGGAUCCAACCUAGAAGGAGACUCGUACGUGAAGCGGAUCUUUCAUUUUACAGUAUUUGGCAAGAGAGUAGACAUAGAAAGAAAAUACAUUUCAAACAGUAAAAUGGUGAAAAAGCGGGACUUAUAGCAUCGCUUCCGAAAAAACAAUGCCACCAUCAAAACCGCCUGGGAAAUGAUUUGGAGAGGAGAAAAAUGAGAUCUUACGACACGAAACCGUAACCUUCAACGUUUUCUCAACGGAAUUCUACCCAUUAUUUGAGAUUUAUAAAAAUGACUUAAAAAUGACACUAAUCUUUCUAUUGGAUAAUAACUUUGCACGGCAGUACGUGGAUAUGCGAUUUUCAUUUACAACAAUAGUAACAAAAAAUAAUGAUACAUGUAGUAGUCCCUCUCAUCGAGAUUUACACGUGAACUCAUGAUGCCUUUGAUUUCGUUUGGAUAUUUGACCUACGACAAUAACGCACUGGCUUACUUUUGUUAUUUACAUACCAAGCAGAAAACUAUCAGCAAGUUGUAGCUCAUUUUUUUUUCCCCAGUGCCUUAUUUAUUGCUUUCCAAUCAUUUAUGGGAAUAUUACUCCCAUUAACUCAAAACAUUUCACAUUUGCAAAUUUAAGAAAUUGGGUUAAUUGUAAUAUUCCUGGCUUUAUACGGUCAAUGUACGCAGAUUAUACUGAGUCUCCAGUUAACGUAAUAAAGGCAAGGGUCACGUUAGUAUG